AUUGAACGCUGGCGGCAUGCCUUACACAUGCAAGUCGAACGGUAACAGGUCUUCGGAUGCUGACGAGUGGCGAACGGGUGAGUAAUACAUCGGAACGUGCCUAGUAGUGGGGGAUAACUACUCGAAAGAGUGGCUAAUACCGCAUGAGAUCUACGGAUGAAAGCAGGGGAUAGCAAGACCUUGUGCUACUAGAGCGGCCGAUGGCAGAUUAGGUAGUUGGUGGGAUAAAAGCUUACCAAGCCGACGAUCUGUAGCUGGUAUUAGAGGACGAUCAGCCACACUGGGACUGAGACACGGCCCAGACUCCUACGGGAGGCAGCAGUGGGGAAUUUUGGACAAUGGGCGCAAGCCUGAUCCAGCAAUGCCGCGUGCAGGAUGAAGGCCUUCGGGUUGUAAACUGCUUUUGUACGGAACGAAAAGCCCUGGGUUAAUACCCUGGGGUCAUGACGGUACCGUAAGAAUAAGCACCGGCUAACUACGUGCCAGCCGCCGCCGUAACAC
rnacentral:rRNA from 1 species